rnacentral:rRNA from 1 species
UUUUAUUUGAGAGUUUGAUCCUGGCUCAGGAUGAACGCUGGCGGCGUGCCUAACACAUGCAAGUUGAGCGAUUUACUUCGGUAAAGAGCAGCGGACGGGUGAGUAACGCGUGGGUAACCUACCCUGUACACACGGAUAACAUACCGAAAGGUAUGCUAAUACGGGAUAAUAUAUUUGAGAGGCAUCUCUUAAAUAU